rnacentral:rRNA from 1 species
CUUGACAUCCCGUUGACCGCUAUGGAGACAUAGUUUUCCCUUCGGGGACAAUGGUGACAGGUGGUGCAUGGUUGUCGUCAGCUCGUGUCGUGAGAUGUUGGGUUAAGUCCCGCAACGAGCGCAACCCUUGAUCUUAGUUGCCAUCAUUUAGUUGGGCACUCUAAGGUGACUGCCGGUGAUAAACCGGAGGAAGGUGGGGAUGACGUCAAAUCAUCAUGCCCCUUAUGACCUGGGCUACACACGUGCUACAAUGGACGGUACAAACGGUUGCAACCCGCAGGGGGAGCUAAUCCGAUAAAACCGUUCUCAGUUCGGAUUGUAGGCUGCAACUCGCCUACAUGAAGCCGGAAUCGCUAGUAAUCGCGGAUCAGCAUGCCGCGGUGAAUACGUUCCCGGGCCUUGUACACACCGCCCGUCACACCACGAGAGUUUGUAACACCCGAAGUCGGUGAGGUAACCCUUUGGAGCCAGCCGCCGAAGGUGGGAUAGAUGAUUGGGGUGAAGUCGUAACAAGGUAAGCGUAGAUGA